CCUACGGGAGGCAGCAGUGAGGAAUAUUGGUCAAUGGGCGCGAGCCUGAACCAGCCAAGUCGCGUGAGGGAAGACGGUCCUAUGGAUUGUAAACCUCUUUUGUCAGGGAGCAAUUGGCGCUACGUGUAGCGUUAUCGAGAGUACCUGAAGAAAAAGCAUCGGCUAACUCCGUGCCAGCAGCCGCGGUAAUACGGAGGAUGCGAGCGUUAUCUGGAUUUAUUGGGUUUAAGGGGUGCGUAGGCGGAAUGCAAAGUCAGCGGGAAAAUCGCGGGGCUCAACCUCGCUCCGCCGUUGAAACUGGCGUUCUUGAGUGGGCGAGAAGUAUGCGGAAUGCGUGGUGUAGCGGUGAAAUGCAUAGAUAUCACGCAGAACUCCGAUUGCGAAGGCAGCAUACCGGCGCCCAACUGACGCUGAAGCACGAAAGCGUGGGUAUCGAACAGGAUUAGAUACCCUUGUAGUC
rnacentral:rRNA from 1 species